UAGGGAAUCUUCCACAAUGGGCGCAAGCCUGAUGGAGCAACACCGCGUGAGUGAAGAAGGGUUUCGGCUCGUAAAGCUCUGUUGUUAAAGAAGAACACGUAUGAGAGUAACUGUUCAUUCGAUGACGGUAUCUAACCAGCAAGUCACGGCUAACUACGUGCCAG
rnacentral:rRNA from 1 species